UGAGUAACCUGCCCUUCACUUUGGGAUAACCCUCGGAAAACGGGGGCUAAUACCGGAUAUUCAUUUCCUGCUGCAUGGUGGGUUGUGGAAAGAUUUUUUGGUGGGGGAUGGGCUCGCGGCCUAUCAGCUUGUUGGUGGGGUGAUGGCCUACCAAGGCGACGACGGGUAGCCGGCCUGAGAGGGCGACCGGCCACACUGGGACUGAGACACGGCCCAGACUCCUACGGGAGGCA
rnacentral:rRNA from 1 species